rnacentral:rRNA from 1 species
UACAGAGGGGGCAAGCGUUAUUCGGAAUUAUUGGGCGUAAAGGGCGCGUAGGCGGCUUGGCAAGUGGAUGGUGAAAUCCCUCGGCUUAACCGAGGAACUGCCGUCCAAACUGCUUCGCUUGAGACCGGGAGAGGUGAGUGGAAUUCCCAGUGUAGCGGUGAAAUGCGUAGAUAUUGGGAGGAACACCAGUGGCGAGGGCGGCUCACUGGACCGGUACUGACGCUGAUGCGCGAAAGCGUGGGGAGCAAACGGG